UAAGCGGAGGAAAAGAAACCAACAGGGAUUGCCUCAGUAACGGCGAGUGAAGCGGCAACAGCUCAAAUUUGAAAUCUGGCCCUAGGCCCGAGUUGUAAUUUGCAGAGGAUGCUUUUGGUGCGGUGCCUUCCAAGUUCCCUAGAACGGGACGCCAGAGAGGGUGAGAGCCCCGUACAGUUGGACACCAAGCCUUUGUAAAGCUCCUUCGACGAGUCGAGUAGUUUGGGAAUGCUGCUCAAAAUGGGAGGUAUAUUUCUUCUAAAGCUAAAUACCGGCCAGAGACCGAUAGCGCACAAGUAGAGUGAUCGAAAGAUGAAAAGCACUUUGAAAAGAGGGUUAAACAGCACGUGAAAUUGUUAAAAGGGAAGCGCUUGUGACCAGACUUGCGUCCGGUGAAUCACCCAGCUCUCGCGGCUGGGGCACUUCGCCGGCUCAGGCCAGCAUCAGCUCGCUGUCGGGGACAAAAGCUUCAGGAACGUAGCUCUCUUCGGGGAGUGUUAUAGCCUGUUGCAUAAUACCCUUCGGCGGGCUGAGGUACGCGCUCCGCAAGGAUGCUGGCAUAAUGGUCAUCAGCGACCCGUCUUGAAACACGGACCAAGGAGUCAACCUUAUGUGCGAGUGUUCGGGUGUCAAACCCCUACGCGUAAUGAAAGUGAACGCAGGUGAGAGCUUCGGCGCAUCAUCGACCGAUCCUGAUGUUCUCGGAUGGAUUUGAGUAAGAGCAUAUAGGGUUGGACCCGAAAGAAGGUGAACUAUGCGUGUAUAGGGUGAAGCCAGAGGAAACUCUGGUGGAGGCUCGCAGCGGUUCUGACGUGCAAAUCGAUCGUCAAAUAUGCGCAUGGGGGCGAAAGACUAA
rnacentral:rRNA from 1 species